GAUUUCUGUUGGACAACCUUUGUUUUUGGACUCUGUCUUUAGCCACUCAGUUUCUUCAUGGUUUGCUCCUGCAGCUCUUAUGCAGGUGCUUGGGCCUACAACACUCCUUUGCCUCCGCCCCCUGCUAAAGAGACAACCAGGAAGAGGCAGGAUGGCCAGACCCCCCCUGUGGAACUACUCACAACAAAGACAGCUAUCAAAUGUUUCACAAAUUAAAUAAACAAUCAAAA